CAGGGCUCUGAGGGCAGGGGCAGUGAUGGCUGUUGUCCCUGCAGGUAGCAGGCAGGCGUUCAGUGACUCACUCCUCUGGAUGGAUGAACACCUGUGUGGUAGCAGAUGCCUCCUGUGACCAGAAACAGGGUUGAUGACAUCGGCGAGAGUGAAUGAAGACGACGAAGACGACGAUGAUAAUGACAAUGCUAAAACCCUUUGAGGAGCUCCAGGGGAACAACUGAGUCAGUGAUUUACUACUCCAACGUUACGGAGCUGCAGCAUGCGGCCAUUUCGUCCACAAUGUUUUGAGGAGUCGUGUCCCUUUAGACACAGCAGAGCAUUCGUGGAGGUAUGAAAGGGAGAAGUAUCUUAAGUGGCUGUCACGCAAGGCUGCUGGGCUUCCUGUCAGCAAUGACAUCAGCUGAGACACUGGGGGAACUGAAAUCUUGGUUUCCUUUCAGAUGGUGUGGAAAAGGUCAAGAGUUGUGACCUUUCCCAUUUAAAUGUUAAGACCAGUUGAUGUCAAAACCCAAACAACACAAGUGGAACAUAAUGGUGCGUGCAACAUGUUUGUUAACUAGUGUGUGACGGGUUUCGGAAGCAGGAAGCUGCUGCGCGACAUGAACUUGUGUUUCAUUAGAUUCAGGCAUGUGGCAGAUACGUGCACUUUUUCCAAAAUUUGUGUCUGUGUUGCACAUGAUGUGGGAAAGUAAUAUUAGCUAUUGGGUCAUCUUGAUUUGUAUUAAUUAUCAAAGGAUUCAUGUUUUGAAAACAAGCUGUUCCUUCCUUUCUUUUUUUGUUGUGUCGUAUUUCAGUAUAAACUCGACAGCUGUAGGGUACCAAAAAGUUAUUUGUCAUUCAACCCUUUUGUCUGAAGAAACGAAAUCUGUAGGCGGAUCUUUGUAGUGAUAAGGAGAUGGUAAACCUCCUCUAAUUAAUACAUAGAUGUAGAAAAAUCACAUUUCAAAUACCAUUCAAGGUUUGUCCCCCCCCCCCCUUCUUGGCAUCCCAUAAUAGCACCCAACAGCACCACCAGCUUCUCACGUCAACUCCAAAUAUUUGUAUAAAUGUAGUGAGUGGAAAUUUGAUGGAACCGCAUACUUAUCAACAUUUUAGAAGAAAAGGGAAAAAGGGAACUUUAGAAGAAAAUGAAGUCGUCUUGAGUGAUUUUACAGGGGUGAAUGAGUUUGUGUGAUUUGGAGAUUUUCAUCUUUUAGCCUCUGAACAACAGAUCUAGUCAUCCUGCCUGCUAACAGGGUUUGACACAGCUGUCACGAGUUAUUGAGGCCUCUCAGAUUUAACCAAACCGGCUUCGAAAAGCAAGAAGUGUAAUUCUACUGCACUGGAGCAGAUGCUGUCUCUGGUAAAGUGCUCCUAAAUUACUGUCCAAGAUAAUUGACUUGAAUUAAAAGUUGUUCAA